CAACAUUGUGGUUAUCGUUCGCCGAUUAUAAUUUUAGCGGUCGCGGUAAUGCGGUCUUAUUUUAUAUUCUUUUGAACAUUCUUUUUCGGUAUUAGAGUCAGUGCAUCUCUCAACAGGACAAAGCCUCUGCAGGAGCUCAAGAAUAUGUGUUCCAUGAUGCAUCGAUGUCCUGACGUUUUAUGUAAGUAAACAAAAUUUUAUUAUUGUAAUUAUUUUUGCAAAAUGAACGAAAUGCGUCAUGGAUAUUCAUUUGUCAUAAUUAAUUUAGCUUCUCGUGUUAUUUUCAUUUUCUGUAUUGAUGCGCCCGUCAACAUGAGCGCUUGAGAUAAGCUAUCUCCGUUUGCGGUAUUGCUACAAAACUGUUUGUCAUUUAGAUUCUUGAUUUUGUUAUUUUAAUUCAGACUCAUAUCAUUUGACUUGUAUAACAUACAUGAGGUGGUGUUCGGUGUAAGGUGUCCAAGAAAUACUCGGCGCUGCUCAACAAUAUAAUUUAUUUAACAAUCAACAAUUCUCGAUUACCACUGACUUUCUCGCUUCUCGACUAUGUUUGUGUCACGUAAUAUUCGUGAGAAGCAAAUAAAAAAAAAAUGAGUUGAGGAGAGUCCCCAACUCUUAUAUUUUCUUUUACAAUAUUUAUUGAUCAAGUAUAAAAAUACAAU